AUGCAUCAGCACUCCUCAAUUGUGGGUAGCGUUGGUGGCGGUGACUUGGGCUGGGAAGCAAUGAGUAUCAGCACUUGCAAUUGCAGGUGGCAGUGGCUGGGGGUUAGGAAGAGAAAGGUGGGCGUUUUUGCAGGGUGGACAAAAAAAGGCAGUGGCGGGAGGAAAAAGAACAACAAUAACAUCGGGUCAUUGCCGACGGAGGAAAGGCAGGGACAGCUAAGGCGUUGGUCUCUAGUGGUUAUCGCGCUGAGCCGCAGAGACGUUGGCGCCAAACCCUAUUUGGCGCCUUUAGCGCCCGAUAAAGGGUUUUCUGUGCAACUUUUGGUUCUAAAGACGCAAAAAAGAAUGAUUGCUUUUUUUACAAGUGCUCGCAAGAAAAAAAAAAGGGCUACCAAUGGAGGGAGCAGCGAUCGAGCGAGGAGCGAUCAAGCGAAUGGGCCACAACCCACUAGGGGUGCGCGUGAGCGCCAGGAAAGCGAUCGGGCACUGAAGGCGCCAGCGAGGAGGUCUCGACGUUGGCAGAUAGCUGGGUCGGCCCGCCUGGGGGUGCGCGCGAGCGCCAGGAGCACCAAGCGGAAAGCGCCGUAUAGGGGCUCCCGUGUUGAUCAGUGGCGCCUCACUUGUUUCUAUGGGGAGGCCAAUAGGAGCCUGAGAUAUAAGACGUGGGAAACGAUGAAAAGGCUACGUGGAGAGACUACACUGCCAUGGGUUUGCAUUGGCGACUUCAAUGAAAUUCUCCGCCAGGAGGAACAGUUGGGGCCAAACACUCGCGAUAGCUCUCAGAUCACGGGGUUUAGAGAAGCAGUGGAUGUUUGUGGUCUGGCAGACUUGGGGGUCCGGCUGGACCGGGCUUUGGCCUCGCCUUCUUGGUCGAGCCUCUUCCCUUUUGCUAGUGUGGAGCACAUGACAACGGCAAAAAGUGAUCAUAGUCCCAUUCUGUUGUUGAAUGAUCUCAACAAUGUCAACCCUAGAUGGGAUAAGAAGAAGCCGUUCCGAUACGAGUGCGCCUGGGAGACACAUGGCAACUUUAAGGAUGUAGUUGGAGAAGCGUGGAACGGCGAGGGACCGGCUGGGAUUACUUCUGGGCCUGGCACUAUGACAGACGCGGCGUAUUCUCUGUCCGAUCAGCGUAUAGGAUCUCUGCAAUCAAGGCUCAAAGGCAAGACUGGCUGGAGCACCGGCCAGGCCAUUCCAAUAUCACAGUGGACAAGCAUUCAUGGUCACAAUUGUGGAAGGUGUGUUUGGGCGUUGGGAGAUGAGGAUUUGCUUGAGCAUGUGCUAUCGAAUCGGAAUGAAGACGCAAAGUUAUGGCUGUUCUGGCUUUUUGAAUCAACAAACCAAGACAAUCUUGCCCGAGUUUUGGUGACAAUGUGGGCUAUCUGGUGGGCGCGACGUAAAGCGAUACAUGACGAGGAGUUUCAGAGCCCGUUGUCAACUAUGUGUUUCAUCAAAAGGUAUCUGGAGGAGCUGGAGAUUGCCUCUCAUCUAUGCCAACCAAUCACGUUGGGCAGGUUAAUCUACCUAGGGCCAAUGCAUGGCUGCCACCACCAGAGUUUGCUGCGAAGUUCAACUGUGAUGGCGGUCGGUCUACCCUGGGGGAGAAAGGAGCAGCGGCAGUGGUCUGCUGAGACAAGGACGGGACUUAUCUUGGGGCAUCGGCAGUGGUUUUCGAUGGCUUGUCUGAUCCUUCUAGCGUGGAGGCAAAUGCUUGCUGUGAAGCGCUGGCCCUUGCGCAGGACCUUCAUCUACAAGACAUGGUCAUUGCCUCAGAUUGCCUUGUAG
rnacentral:rRNA from 1 species